rnacentral:rRNA from 1 species
UGAAUACGAGACGCUAAGGCGUCGAAGUAGUGUAUGUCAUACUUCCAAGAAAAGCUUGCACUGUCAUAGAUAAAAAACGCCUGUACCAUAACCGACACAGGUGGGUAGGUAGAGUAUACUAAGGGGCGCGAGAUAACUCUCUCUAAGGAACUCGGCAAAAUAACUCCGUAACUUCGGGAGAAGGAGUGCCUUAUUCGUAAGGUUGCAAUAACAAGAUCCAAGCAACUGUUUAUCAAAAACACAGGUCUCCGCUAAGUCGUAAGACGAUGUAUGGGGGCUGACGCCUGCCCAGUGCCAGAAGGUUAAAGAAGUUGGUUAGCAAUUGCGAAGCUGAUAACUGAAGCCCUGGUGAACGGCGGCCGUAACAAUAACGGUCCUAAGGUAGCGAAGUUCCUUGUCGGGUAAGUUCCGACCCGCACGAAAGGCGUAAUGAUUUGGAUACUGUCUCGGAGAGGGGCUCGGUGAAAUAGACUUGUCUGUGAAGAUGCGGACUACCUGCACCAGGACAGAAAGACCCUAUGAAGCUUUACUGUAACUUGAAAUUGAAAUUGGACUUUAUUCGCGCAGUAUAGGUGGGAGGCGUUGAUUAUAAUCUUGUGGGAUUAUUGGAGCCAUCAGUGAGAUACCACUCUUGUAAUGUUAGAUUUCUAACUUUGAAUCAUUAUCUGGUCAAAGAACAGUUUCAGGCGGGCAGUUUGACUGGGGCGGUCGCCUCCUAAACGGUAACGGAGGCGUACAAAGGUUUCCUCUGAACGGUUAGAAAUCGUAUCUAGAGUGUAAAGGCAUAAGGAAGCUUGACUGUGAGACCUACAAGUCGAGCAGGGACGAAAGUCGGUCUUAGUGAUCUGACGGUACUGAGUGGAAAGGCCGUCACUCAACGGAUAAAAGUUACUCUAGGAUAACAGGCUGAUCUCCCCCAAGAGUUCACAUCGACGGGGAGGUUUGGCACCUCGAUGUCGGCUCAUCGCAUCCUGGGGCGGUAGUACGUCCCAAGGGUUGGGCUGUUCGCCCAUGAAAGCGGUACGCGAGCUGGGUUCAGAACGUCGUGAGACAGUUCGGUCCAUAUCCGGUGUAGGCGUUAGAAUAUUGAGAGGAGCCUUCUUUAGUACGAGAGGACCGAGAAGGACAUACCUCUGGUGUACCAGUUAUCGUGCCAACGGUAAACGCUGGGUAGCUAUGUAUGGAGUGGAUAACCGCUGAAAGCAUCUAAGUGGGAAGCCCACCUCAAGAUAAG